rnacentral:tRNA from 1 species
ACCUGGGUGGCUCAGUUGGUUGAGCAUCUGACUUCAGCUCAGGUCAGGAUUUCACGGCUGGUGAGUUCAAGCCCCUUUUCAGGCU